CGUAGGGGGCUAGCGUUGCUCGGAAUUACUGGGCGUAAAGGGCGCGUAGGCGGACAGUUUAGUCAGAGGUGAAAGCCCAGGGCUCAACCUUGGAAUUGCCUUUGAUACUGACUGUCUUGAGUUCGGGAGAGGUGAGUGGAAUGCCGAGUGUAGAGGUGAAAUUCGUAGAUAUUCGGCGGAACACCAGUGGCGAAGGCGACUCACUGGCCCGAUACUGACGCUGAGGCGCGAAAGCGUGGGGAGCAAACAGGAUUAGAUACCCUGGUAGUCCACGCUGUAAACGAUGAGUGCUAGUUGUCGGCAUGCAUGCAUGUCGGUGACGCAGCUAACGCAUUAAGCACUCCGCCUGGGGAGUACGGUCGCAAGAUUA
rnacentral:rRNA from 1 species